GUCCCUGUAGCUCAGCUGGAUAGAGCAUUCGCCUCCUAAGCGAAGGGUCGGACGUUCGAAUCGUCUCAGGGACGCCA
rnacentral:tRNA from 3 species